rnacentral:tRNA from 1 species
GAGGGUGUAGCUCAGCGGUAGAGUGUGUGUGCUCAGCAACCACAAGGUCCUGGGUUUGAUCCCCAGUACCUCCG